AUAGAUGGCCCCGGGGCCCAUAAGUUAGUGGUGGAGNAACGGUUCACCCAAGGGGACGAUGGUUACCGACCNUGAGAGGUGUUCGCCCACACUGGACUGAGACACGCCCCAGACUCUUACGGGAGGCAGCAGUAGGGAAUCUUCCCGCAAUGGACGAAAGUCUGACGGAGCAACGCCGCGUGAGUGAUGAAGGUUUUCGGAUCGUAAAACUCUGUUGUUAGGGAAGAACAAGUAUCGGAGUAACUGCCGGUACNUUGACGGUACCUAACCAG
rnacentral:rRNA from 1 species